UACGGAGGGGGCGAGCGUUAUUCGGAAUUAUUGGGCGUAAAGGGCAUGUAGGCGGCUUCGUGUGUCUCUUGUGAAAGCCCUCGGCUCAACUGAGGAAUUGCAAGGGAAACUACGGAGCUUGAGUCCGGGAGAGGAGAGUGGAAUUCCCAGUGUAGCGGUGAAAUUCGUAGAUAUUCGGAAGAACACCAGUGGCGAAGGCGACUUACUGGACACAUAUUGACGCUGAGGUGCGAAAGCGUGGGGAGCAAACAGG
rnacentral:rRNA from 1 species